rnacentral:rRNA from 1 species
AGUGAACGCUGGCGGUAGGCCUAACACAUGCGAGUCGAACGGCAGCACAGUAAGAGCUUGCUCUUACGGGUGGCGAGUGGCGGACGGGUGAGGAAUACAUCGGAAUCUACUUUUUCGUGGGGGAUAACGUAGGGAAACUUACGCUAAUACCGCAUACGACCUACGGGUGAAAGCAGGGGAUCUUCGGACCUUGCGCGAUUGAAUGAGCCGAUGUCGGAUUAGCCAGUUGGCGGGGUAAAGGCCCACCAAGGCGACGAUCCGUAGCUGGUCUGAGAGGAUGAUCAGCCACACUGGAGCUGAGACACGGUCCAGACUCCUACGGGAGGCAGCAGUGGGGAAUAUUGGACAAUGGGCGCAAGCCUGAUCCAGCCAUACCGCGUGGGUGAAGAAGGCCUUCGGGUUGUAAAGCCCUUUUGUUGGGAAAGAAAAGCAGCAGGUUAAUACCCCGCUGUUCUGACGGUACCCAAAGAAUAAGCACCGGCUAACUUCGUG